rnacentral:rRNA from 1 species
AUGGAGAGGCAGUCCAGCUCCCGGUUCGGCGCCCUGGAGAAGCUCAAGAGCUUCCGGGGCAUAGAGAAGCAGAGGAGCUUCAAGUUCCUGUCCAUGGAGAAGCAGCAGAGCUUCAAGGAGAGGCGGAGCCGGGACAGCCCCGGGAAGAGGGGCGACAGCGCGCUCCACCUCGCGGCCAGGGCCGGCAAUGUCUCCCAUGUCCAGAGGAUCUUCGCCGACUGCGACCCGGAGCUGGUGGGGGAGCUGGCCGCCCACCAGAACCUGGACGGCGAGACGGCGCUGUACGUGGCCGCCGAGAAGGGGCACGUCGACGUCGUGUGCGAGAUACUCAAGGCCUGUGACGUGCACUCAGCGGGGCUCAAGGCGACCAAUAGCUUCGAUGCCUUCCAUAUCGCGGCCAAACAGGGCCAUCUGGAUGUUCUGCAGGAGCUAUUGCAGGCAUUUCCCGCGUUAGCUAUGACGACGAGUUCUGUGAACGCCACAGCUUUAGACACCGCCGCAACCCAGGGCCACAUUGGUAUUGUCAAUCUUCUUCUGGAUACAGACGCAAGCCUUGCCAGGAUUGCAAGAAGUAAUGGGAAGACAGUUUUGCAUUCAGCAGCAAGAAUGGGUCAUGUGGAGGUGGUAGCGUCGUUGUUGAAUAAAGAUCCGGAUAUUGGUUUCAGAACAGACAGGAAGGGACAGACAGCGCUGCACAUGGCUUCCAAAGGCCAGAAUGCUGAAAUUCUGCUUGAGCUAUUGAAGCCUGAUGUCUCAGUAAUCCAUUUGGAGGAUAACAAGGGGAACAGAGCACUGCAUGUUGCAACGCGCAAGGGCAACACCAUUAUGGUUCAGACUUUAAUAUCCAUUGAAGAGAUUGAUAUCAAUGCAGUCAAUAAAGCUGGAGAGACUGCUUUUGCCAUUGCAGAGAAACAAGGCAAUGAAGAGCUUGUUAACAUCCUGCGGGAGGUUGGUGGAAUAACUGCAAAAGAGCAAGCAAAUCCUCCGAAAUCAGCCAAGCAGCUUAAGCAAACAGUCAGCGAUAUCAAGCAUGACGUCCAAUCACAGAUCAAGCAAACGCGUCAGACCAAGAUGCAUGUCCACAAGAUCAAGAAGAGGAUUCAGAAGCUCCACAUUGGCGGGCUAAACAAUGCCAUCAACUCCAAUACCGUUGUCGCAGUACUUAUUGCCACGGUUGCCUUUGCAUCCAUAUUCACCAUUCCUGGUAAUUUUCUUGAGAGUAUGGACAAAGCGACUGAGCCCCAUAUGAGCUUAGGGCAAGCACUGGUAGCAAGCAGGCCAGCUUUUAUAAUCUUCUUGGUCUUUGACUCCUUGGCUCUCUUUAUUUCGCUCGCCGUGGUCGUUGUCCAGACCUCUCUGAUUGUUGUUGAGCAGAAGGCGAAGCAGAAGAUGGUCUUUGUGAUGAACAAGUUGAUGUGGCUCGCGUGCCUCUGCAUAUCAGCAGCCUUCAUAGCACUGACCUACGUCGUCGUGGGCCGCAAUGACGAGUGGCUGGCUUGGUGCACGAUGGUGAUCGGCACCGUGAUUAUGCUAACCACCAUUGGUUCCAUGUGCUAUUGCAUCAUCAGCCACAGGAUGGAAGCGCAGAGCAUGAGGAGGAUCAGGAGGUCCUCCAUGAGCCAGUCGUGGUCCAUAUCAGUCGACUCGGACACGGAGCUAGACAUGACCAGCAGAAACAAGACGAUGUAUGCGCUGUAG